rnacentral:rRNA from 1 species
UACGUAGGGUGCAAGCGUUGUCCGGAAUUAUUGGGCGUAAAGGGCGCGUAGGCGGCCAUUCAAGUGACGGGUGAAAGCCCUCGGCUUAACCGAGGAACUGCCUGUCAGACUGGAUGGCUUGAGACCGGGAAAGGUGAGUGGAAUUCCCAGUGUAGCGGUGAAAUGCGUAGAUAUUGGGAGGAACACCAGUGGCGAAGGCGGCUCACUGGACCGGAACUGACGCUGAGGCGCGAAAGCGUGGGGAGCAAACAGG